rnacentral:lncRNA from 1 species
GGGAGAGACUUUCCCCCAGCCACCCCCACCCCUUUUUUCUUUUUUUUUCUCCGAGGCUGCACUUUGGAAGAGGUGCAGUCAUUCUUACCCACACCCCCUACCCUCUCUCUCCACUCCCCCAACUAUAAAUUCCCUUCUGUAGCAUGCUGCCCUUUUGUAAUCCACAUUUGUGUUUCAGAUCAUGUAGAAAGGACAGAAAGUGAGCAGGGAGCGGGGGCUUUUGUCUAUUGUUCUCCUUGUGCUACUUGAGAGAAACUGCAAUCCCAAGACUUAACAGAACCUAAAAAUGAAUCUUCCUCCACUUGGCCAGAUUCCAAGCCAUGAUUCUCCAGCCUAUCAGCAUUGCUCCCAAGGCAGAUACCUAAAAUCCUUUGUCCAUUCAGGGCUCUGGUACAGUCACAGCAGAACAGUAACUUUAUGUGAAAUAGGUCCAUGCAAUUAUUAUCUACCAAUAUGGGCCACAGUAUUUGUUUUUGAAGAAGAAAAAAGGUUAUUAUUGAUUUUUUUUUUUAACAGAUAAUUACUAUGAAAGAUCAUUUGGGGCCUAUGGUGGGUAUUCUGCAGGUGAUGGUAGGUUUUGGGGUUUGUUUUUUUAAACCCUGAGCAUAGUUGUGAGCUCAUCUUACACUUUACAGCUUUUCCCUCCUGCCUCAUUCCCAAAAUCCACCCACAAACUGCAAUUCCUCCAAGUUUUUAUGAAUUUAAUUUGAGGAAUCCUCUCUUUUUCAUCUAACUUCUGGUGCUUAUUUUAUUCCUAUUAGGUUUCUAAUAGGGAUAACACAGCCCAUAGUCUAACCUAAAUACAUCUCAGACUCCAUGGAAAAUAUACAAGUUUGUAUUCAUGAUAAUGACUAAUUCAGCAUUCUGAUGCUUAUGUGAUCCUCCCAUAUACAUUUUGUAUACUUUGCUGGUGUGAACAGCAUGUCCUGCG